rnacentral:lncRNA from 1 species
AAUUAUAAAAGAGCUCUAAUUGGCUUUGAACCUGGGGACAAAGUAAGCUAGUCAGCACCUACAAAGAGCUCUUGUGUCUUUGACAUCUACCACCCUCCUUCUUUAAAAAAAUUUCUUUAGAAUUUCUCAAUCCUCAAGGCUCUAAGCUCUUAAGAAUUUACUAACAGAUGGACCAUCUGGAGGAGUUGUCUUCAAAUGCUGUGCUUACACCUUAUCUAUGACCAGUCACUUUGUACCAUUAUCUGUGGAACACAGAAUCAUCUGUUCCCAAUGCUCCAGCCCCUUGUUCUUGUGCAUGGCUGGAUCCCACCGGAAAUGGGCCUGCACAGCAGCAGCACCCUCCCGGUGUGGAGGUUAUGUAGCUGGUGCGCUGCUCACAGCCAUACACUGCCCAUGCUGAGCGCCUCCCACACAGGUAAUGCCCAGCUUUUCUGCUGUUAACACAUUUGGCCAGUUGUUGCAAUUGCUCAUAAUCCUGGGAAAAGGUGUUUGUGACUUUUCAGAGCCCAGAUUCCUGUUGGCUAUUAAAACUUGAAGGGAGGGGUGAUUAGUGUUUCUCUCUCUUCUUCCUAAAAGGACCUUAGCUGUCCUAGGGUAGUUAGUAAAAGGCUUUUUACCAUUUUGACCUAGGGCCUUUGGCUUUCACUAAAAGUGGGGACCUCAGCAUCCCAGAUUUUAUUUC